AGAGUACUCCCUCCGUCCAAAAAUACUUGUCAUCAAAAUGGAUAAAAAAUGAUGUAUCUAGAACUAAAAUACGUCUAGAUACAUCCCUUUUUAUUCAUUUUGAUGACAAGUAUUCCCGGACGGAGGGAGUACAAA
rfam:Triticum urartu cultivar G1812 contig810623, whole genome shotgun sequence.